GACUCUCGGCAACGGAUAUCUCGGCUCACGCAUCGAUGAAGAACGUAGCAAAAUGCGAUACUUGGUGUGAAUUGCAGAAUCCCGUGAACCAUCGAGUUUUUGAACGCAAGUUGCGCCCGAAGCCAUCUGGUUGAGGGCACGCCUGCCUGGGCGUCACGC
rnacentral:rRNA from 3 species